CCGGCGGGUAGGCGGGCUAGGGCCCACGUACUCCCGGCACGUGUGGGCCUGUCGUGAUUGCCUGUGAAUGUGUCUAGGCAGGGUGUUGCAGGGGAACAGCCAAUAUGCCAGCCUCCUGCGGGAGGGAGGGAGGUGUGCUUGCUACUUGUGUGUUGUGGGGAGUCUUAAAGUUUCUAGGAAAGCAAUUGGGGGCUUAGGUGAGGACGACAAGUCUAUGUGUGACCUGUGCUUAAGGUCCCCUUAGAGCAGGAUCCUGUUAAAAAAAAAAAAAAGUGAAGCCACCUGUCUGCCACUGACUAGACCAUGUGUGCUGCAAGUGGCCUCCAGAGGAUUGUCAACUGUAACUCCUGCAGCUGUCUUUGAGGGGCUUCGUGGGAGCUUCCACCCCACCCAUCUGUGUGUAACGGAACCGCUGUGAGAUGUGACUUAAGUGUGUCAUUCCUAGCAGGUGCCUGGGGGAUGGGAUUCUGCAUGUAGGACCUUCAAGUAGAGUGUGGGCUUUCUGUGGCUCGCUUGGCCCUGUUGUACCAUGUGAACAAAUGGUAUUUGUGGAUCUGUGUCCUUGUUUGUGGCUCUCUUGGAGGUUGCCUGUUCUUGAGUGUGGUAGACCCGAGUCUGGACAUAGUUCCUCUGAGGAGCAGUCACAAGGCAGUGGAAACCAGUGGACUUUGGUGCCUGACGUAGCAGCUGGCACAUGAUGAGGCGAGUUGCUGGGGUGCUGGUUGUGUUGUGCUCCUGCGUCUGCCUGUGGGCAGAACAGACGUGCACACACCCGCACCUAGAUACUGAGUGUCUGAGCCAACCUUAUCUGUCCCCAGCGAAUGAGGCUGCUGUGCCACAGAGCUGACUCAGCAUGUGAUGGGCAAAGUCUCGAUGGUGGACGGUGGAAAGUUGUGUGUGGGUCGUUCUGCAGGCUGCUGGGCAGCGCUGACUGAUGGUCAUGGAACUACAUGCAGUGCCGGGCCGGGGAUCGAACUUGGGUCCUCGGGCGGAGCGGUCAGGCGCUCUGCCCCCUGAGCCGUCUCUCCGGCUUGGCCUCAACCCUUUAAAUCCGACAACUUUAUUCUCCUGAGAGCUAGGAUUAUGAGUGUACACAACGGGCUAGUGACAGGUGGCUUUAUAGGAAGGACAUUUGCUGCCAAGCCUGAUGAACUGGGUUCUAUUUGCCCAGGAUUCACA